rnacentral:rRNA from 1 species
AUGUUUUGUCGUCAACCACUCCGGAGCCAACCCCGCCAUGGCAGGUUCGGCGCCUCAAUCCAGCAGAGUUUAGCAGAACGUAGUCGCCAAGGCCUUUGCUUUAUCUGCGACGAGAUUUAUGUUUGGGGUCACCGGUGCGCGCGGCUCUUCUACAACUUACAACCUGCGGACAAGCUGUUUUUCAAGGAAGAGAGAGAUGUUAUGUGGACCAGCCCAUCAAACAUGGAGUCUUAUCCCUUAAUUAGAGUCCUAGUUGAUAAAGCAUCUUUGUUAGUGAAGAGCCCAGUGGAGUCUUAUAUUACUUAA